CGUAGGGUGCGAGCGUUAAUCGGAAUUACUGGGCGUAAAGCGUGCGCAGGCGGUUUUGUAAGACAGGCGUGAAAUCCCCGGGCUCAACCUGGGAACUGCGCUUGUGACUGCACGGCUAGAGUACGGCAGAGGGGGUGGAAUUCCACGUGUAGCAGUGAAAUGCGUAGAGAUGUGGAGGAACACCAAUGGCGAAGGCAGCCCCCUGGGUCGAUACUGACGCUCAUGCACGAAAGCGUGGGUAGCAAACAGGAUUAGAUACCCUGGUAGUCCACGCCCUAAACGAUGUCAACUAGGUGUUGGGAGGGUAAAACCUUUUAGUACCGGAGCUAACGCGUGAAGUUGACCGCCUGGGGAGUACGGCCGCAAGGUUA
rnacentral:rRNA from 1 species